GUGGGCUUAAACCUAUGGACCCAAUUAAGGGGUCCAGUUUUCAUUCUUUUGGAAGGGGGGUCACUUCCAGUGACUAUUUUUCCUUUCCUAUUUUUCUCUGGUCCUGAAACGCUCACGGCUUCCUUUCUUUUCUCCUUUUCCAUGAACAGCGGUGAGAGUGCAAUGAUGGAGGUGAGAGACGCGAAAAGGUUGCAGCGAGAACGACGAGGUCGCAAGAGUGGCGUUUCUAACGGGGUUCAAAACUCUAGUUUCUUUCUUCUCUCUUUCUUGCUCGGGCAACUCAAGUUGGAGAGAUCAUCGUUGGUGCGGCGAUGUCGGCGAGGGCGCGACGACUGCGUGGUAGAGGCACGUUGAGGAGACGACGUUCUCUUCGUGGCAGUGUGUUGGUGGCGACUUUCACGGUUCAAGGACAGAGGCUUUAUUCUUCUUAUCCCCUCUUUCGAUUUUUACGAUUAGGGUUUUGUGUGUUCACCAGAUCUUUGGAUUGCCAUUUUCGCGUUUGGGUUGGUUUUGAUCUUCUGCAGUUUAUCCGGUGUAACUGAAACUUGCGGUGAAGAGGAAUGGAGGUUGAGCGAGAACGAACAAGAACGUAUUGUUGGGCUGCGGCUAAGUUGCUCUCGGUCUGGACCUAAGUGAGUUUGUAGACUCAAAGUUGAAUUCGAGAUUAGUCUUUUUGAUUUCUAAUUGAGCCUGUAGACUCCCAUAAUACACUCUGUUUAGUUUUGA